rnacentral:rRNA from 1 species
GAUGAACGCUGGCGGCGUGCCUAAUACAUGCAAGUCGAGCGAACAGACGAGGAGCUUGCUCCUUUGACGUUAGCGGCGGACGGGUGAGUAACACGUGGAUAACCUACCUAUAAGACUGGGAUAACUUCGGGAAACCGGAGCUAAUACCGGAUAACAUGUUGAACCGCAUGGUUCAACAGUGAAAGACGGUCUUGCUGUCACUUAUAGAUGGAUCCGCGCCGCAUUAGCUAGUUGGUAAGGUAACGGCUUACCAAGGCAAUGAUGCGUAGCCGACCUGAGAGGGUGAUCGGCCACACUGGAACUGAGACACGGUCCAGACUCCUACGGGAGGCAGCAGUAGGGAAUCUUCCGCAAUGGGCGAAAGCCUGACGGAGCAACGCCGCGUGAGUGAAGAAGGUCUUCGGAUCGUAAAACUCUGUUAUUAGGGAAGAACAAAUGUGUAAGUAACUAUGCACGUCUUGACGGUACCUAAUCAGAAAGCCACGGCUAACUACGUGCCAGCAGCCGCGGUAAUACGUAGGUGGCAAGCGUUAUCCGGAAUUAUUGGGCGUAAAGCGCGCGUAGGCGGUUUUUUAGGUCUGAUGUGAAAGCCCACGGCUCAACCGUGGAGGGUCAUUGGAAACUGGAAAACUUGAGUGCAGAAGAGGAAAGUGGAAUUCCAUGUGUAGCGGUGAAAUGCGCAGAGAUAUGGAGGAACACCAGUGGCGAAGGCGACUUUCUGGUCUGUAACUGACGCUGAUGUGCGAAAGCGUGGGGAUCAAACAGGAUUAGAUACCCUGGUAGUCCACGCCGUAAACGAUGAGUGCUAAGUGUUAGGGGGUUUCCGCCCCUUAGUGCUGCAGCUAACGCAUUAAGCACUCCGCCUGGGGAGUACGACCGCAAGGUUGAAACUCAAAGGAAUUGACGGGGACCCGCACAAGCGGUGGAGCAUGUGGUUUAAUUCGAAGCAACGCGAAGAACCUUACCAAAUCUUGACAUCCUCUGACCCCUCUAGAGAUAGAGUUUUCCCCUUCGGGGGACAGAGUGACAGGUGGUGCAUGGUUGUCGUCAGCUCGUGUCGUGAGAUGUUGGGUUAAGUCCCGCAACGAGCGCAACCCUUAAGCUUAGUUGCCAUCAUUAAGUUGGGCACUCUAAGUUGACUGCCGGUGACAAACCGGAGGAAGGUGGGGAUGACGUCAAAUCAUCAUGCCCCUUAUGAUUUGGGCUACACACGUGCUACAAUGGACAAUACAAAGGGUAGCGAAACCGCGAGGUCAAGCAAAUCCCAUAAAGUUGUUCUCAGUUCGGAUUGUAGUCUGCAACUCGACUACAUGAAGCUGGAAUCGCUAGUAAUCGUAGAUCAGCAUGUUACGGUGAAUACGUUCCCGGGUCUUGUACACACCGCCCGUCACACCACGAGAGUUUGUAACACCCGAAGCCGGUGGAGUAACCUUUUGGAGCUAGCCGUCGAAGGUGGGACAAAUGAUUGGGGUGAAGUCGUAACAAGGUAGCCGUAUCGGAAGG